UUUCGACCUGAACUCAGACGUGAAUACCCGCUGACU
rnacentral:rRNA from 1 species